rnacentral:rRNA from 1 species
GAGAGUUUGAUCCUGGCUCAGGAUGAACGCUAGCUACAGGCUUAACACAUGCAAGUCGAGGGGCAGCAUGGUCUUAGCUUGCUAAGGCCGAUGGCGACCGGCGCACGGGUGAGUAACGCGUAUCCAACCUGCCUUACACUCUUGGACAGCCUUCUGAAAGGGAGAUUAAUACAAGAUGUUAUCAUGAGUAAGCAUUUUCACAUGAUUAAAGGUUUACCGGUGUAAGAUGGGGAUGCGUUCCAUUAGAUAGUAGGCGGGGUAACGGCCCACCUAGUCUUCGAUGGAUAGGGGUUCUGAGAGGAAGGUCCCCCACAUUGGAACUGAGACACGGUCCAAACUCCUACGGGAGGCAGCAGUGAGGAAUAUUGGUCAAUGGACGAGAGUCUGAACCAGCCAAGUAGCGUGAAGGAUGAAGGUUCUAUGGAUUGUAAACUUCUUUUAUACGGGAAUAAACGAAUCCACGUGUGGAUUUUUGCAUGUACCGUAUGAAUAAGGAUCGGCUAACUCCGUGCCAGCAGCCGCGGUAAUACGGAGGAUCCGAACGUUAUCCGGAUUUAUUGGGUUUAAAGGGAGCGUAGAUGGGUUGUUAAGUCAGUUGUGAAAGUUUGCGGCUCAACCGUAAAAUUGCAAUUGAUACUGGCAGUCUUGAGUACAGUUGAGGUAGGCGGAAUUCGUGGUGUAGCGGUGAAAUGCUUAGAUAUCACGAAGAACUCCGAUUGCGAAGGCAGCUUACUAACCUGUAACUGACAUUGAUGCUCGAAAGUGUGGGUAUCAAACAGGAUUAGAUACCCUGGUAGUCCACACGGUAAACGAUGAAUACUCGCUGUAGGCGAUAUACAGUCUGCGGCCAAGCGAAAGCAUUAAGUAUUCCACCUGGGGAGUACGCCGGCAACGGUGAAACUCAAAGGAAUUGACGGGGGCCCGCACAAGCGGAGGAACAUGUGGUUUAAUUCGAUGAUACGCGAGGAACCUUACCUGGGCUUAAAUUGCAACCGAAUAUGGCGGAAACGCUAUAGCUAGCAAUAGCGGUUGUGAAGGUGCUGCAUGGUUGUCGUCAGCUCGUGCCGUGAGGUGUCGGCUUAAGUGCCAUAACGAGCGCAACCCUUGCCGAUAGUUACUAACAGGUUAUGCUGAGGACUCUGUCGGGACUGCCAUCGUAAGAUGUGAGGAAGGUGGGGAUGACGUCAAAUCAGCACGGCCCUUACGUCCGGGGCUACACACGUGUUACAAUGGGGGGUACAGAGGGCUGCUACCACGCAAGUGGAUGCCAAUCCCAAAAACCUCUCUCAGUUCGGAUUGAAGUCUGCAACCCGACUUCAUGAAGCUGGAUUCGCUAGUAAUCGCGCAUCAGCCACGGCGCGGUGAAUACGUUCCCGGGCCUUGUACACACCGCCCGUCAAGCCAUGGGAGCCGGGGGUACCUGAAGUGCGUAACCGCAAGGAGCGCCCUAGGGUAAAACUGGUGACUGGGGCUAAGUCGUAACAAGGUAGCCG